AGGAUGGUGCUGCAGUCACUGGUCUUAUUAUUGCGGCUGCAUCUCUUGUUGCAGUAAAUACCACUGGGAAUGCAAUUUAUGAUCCCAUUGGUUCCAUUGUAGUUGGUAACUUACUUGGAAUGGUGGCCAUAUUCCUCAUCCAGCGUAAUCGGCAUGCUUUGAUCGGUAGAGCAAUGGAUGAAAAUGAUAUGCAGAAAGUUCUCCAAUUCUUGAAGAACGAUCCAGUUGUUGAUGCUUUAUAUGAUUGCAAAAGUGAGGUGAUAGGACCAGGAUUUUACAGAUUCAAGGCAGAAAUAGGUGAUUUUUUCUUUUUUACUUAUU